rnacentral:rRNA from 1 species
AACAGGAUUAGAUACCCUGGUAGUCCACGCUGUAAACGAUGUCGACUUGGAGGUUGUGCCCUUGAGGCGUGGCUUCCGGAGCUAACGCGUUAAGUCGACCGCCUGGGGAGUACGGCCGCAAGGUUAAAACUCAAAUGAAUUGACGGGGGCCCGCACAAGCGGUGGAGCAUGUGGUUUAAUUCGAUGCAACGCGAAGAACCUUACCUACUCUUGGCAUCCAGAGAAUUUGCUAGAGAUAGCUUAGUGCCUUCGGGAACUCUGAGACAGGUGCUGCAUGGCUGUCGUCAGCUCGUGUUGUGAAAUGUUGGGUUAAGUCCCGCAACGAGCGCAACCCUUAUCCUCUGUUGCCAGCACGUAAUGGUGGGAACUCAAAGAAGACUGCCGGUGAUAAACCGGAGGAAGGUGGGGAUGACGUCAAGUCAUCAUGGCCCUUACGAGUAGGGCUACACACGUGCUACAAUGGCAUAUACAAAGAGAAGCGAACUCGCGAGAGCAAGCGGACCUCAUAAAGUAUGUCGUAGUCCGGAUUGGAGUCUGCAACUCGACUCCAUGAAGUCGGAAUCGCUAGUAAUCGUAGAUCAGAAUGCUACGGUGAAUACGUUCCCGGGCCUUGUACACACCGCCCGUCACACCAUGGGAGUGGGUUGCAAAAGAAGUAGGUAGCUUACCCUUCGGGAGGGCGCUUACCACUUUGUGAUUCAUGACUGGGGUGAAGUCGUAACAAGGUAACC